rnacentral:rRNA from 1 species
GGCUAACGCUGGCGGCGUGUCUUAGCCAUGCAAGUCGAGCGGACUUAUGGGGUAACUUAUAAGUCAGCGGCGGACGGCGGAGUAACACGUAGCUAACCUACCCUCUGGACGGGGAUAACCUACCGAAAGGUGGGCUAAUACCCGAUGUAGUCAUCCUGUAUAGGGGUGAUGAAAGGUGGGCUUCUGUUUACAAGCUCAUGCUGGAGGAGGGGGCUGCGGCCUAUCAGGUAGUUGGUAGGGUAAUAGCCUACCAAGCCGAUGACGGGUAGCCGGCCUGAGAGGGUGACCGGCCCGAGGGGCACUGAGAUACGGGUCCCACUCCUACGGGAGGCAGCAGGCUAGAAAUUUGGGCAAUGGGGGAAACCCUGACCCAGUGACGCCGCGUGCAGGAAGGAGCCCUUCGGGGUGUAAACUGCUGUCGUGUAGGGAGAAGGGUACUAAGGUGAACAAUCUUAGUACUUGACGGUACUACAGGAGGAAGCCCAGGCUAACCUCGUGCCAGCAGCCGCGGUAAUAUAGCGUUCU